GCCAGCAAUUGCUGGAUCUUUCAAAAAAAAAUCAAACAGCUACAGAACAAAUUUGUAGCAAGGUACAUCUGAACAAAUUUGUAGCACUGAACACUGGAUAUAUUAGGCAAGUCUACUUGUACACUUAGCUAUCAGUUCAUCCAAAUAAUGAACUGGAUGCAUACAUAUACUAUAGCCUAUAAGAACCAGUACAGGUCAAUUCUUAGCAUUAUUAGUACAUGUCAAUUUCCAUGCUACUUGUCACUGAAAUUCAAAAGCAUCCACGGUAAGGUCAAUUCUUUGCAUUAUCAGUCAAUCCAAUCCAAUAUAAUCCACUAUUUGUAUAUAUGCUAUAAGAACCAGCGGUGACGCUCCACCAAGAACCACACAUCCAGCCGGCGACGAGGAUACCCGGAUUGGCGGUGGGAGGAGAUGGAAUUGGGGUAGGUUUGCCUCACUCACAUGGUGGCUAGCGUGCCGGCGUUGGGGAGAGGCGGGCGGGUCCGGGCAGCGAAAGCAAGGAGCUUGGUCGAGGCGGCGAUCCUCCUCGAUCUGCGGCUGCGUGAGGAGCUCGGUCCAGGAAGUGGUCCACCUCGCGAUGUGCGGCGGCGUGAGGAGCUCGGUCCCGGUGGCGGCCCUCCUCGAUCUACGGUGGCGCUCCUGCCCGGCCCGUAACGGCGCUUCGCAGCAGCAGCUUCCUGGCCCGUCGGGGCGCUCCUCCUUGGUCCUCAUGGCGACGUCGCUCGGCUGCUCAGAACCGGCCCUUCGCGGCGAAGCGCGCGAGAGCAGGGACGCUCGCGCAAGCCGUGUCCUUUUCCUUCAGAUGUUGUCUGAAGAUAGUGAUUGCAGCGGACCAGAGGCUUCCUUGAACUUCAUGAACGAUCGUGUGUGGUCCUUGAUUUUUUGCGUUUAGAGAGGAGCGUGCAGUUUCCUGGUUUUCAUGGAUUGAUUAGCAUCUGUUUUUUUAGACUAGC
rnacentral:rRNA from 1 species